GACGAACGCUGGCGGCGUGCUUAACACAUGCAAGUCGAACGGAAAGGCCCUGCUUUUGUGGGGUGCUCGAGUGGCGAACGGGUGAGUAACACGUGAGUAACCUGCCCUUGACUUUGGGAUAACUUCAGGAAACUGUGGCUAAUACCGGAUAGGAGCUCCUGCUGCAUGGUGGGGGUUGGAAAGGUUCGGCGGUUGGGGAUGGACUCGCGGCUUAUCAGCUUGUUGUUGGGGUAGUGGCUUACCAAGGCUUUGACGGGGAGCCGGCCUGAGAGGGUGACCGGCCACAUUGGGACUGAGAUACGGGCCAGACUGCUACGGGAGGCAUCAGUGGAGAAUAUUGCACAAUGGGCGGAAGCCUGAUGCAGCAACGCCGCGUGCUGGAUGACGGCCUUCGGGUUGUAAACAGAUUUAGCGUGUGACGAAGAGUGAGUGACGGUAAUGGGUAAAGAAGCAACGGCUAACUACGUG
rnacentral:rRNA from 1 species